GUCGAGGGGCAGCGGGGGAGUAGCAAUACUCCCGCCGGCGACCGGCGCACGGGUGAGUAACACGUAUGAAACCUGCCCGUAGCAGGGGGAUAAGCGGAAGAAAUUCCGUCUAAUACCGCGUAACAACCCAUGGAGGCAUCUCCGUGGGUUUAAAGGAAGCGAUUCCGGCUACGGAUGGUCAUGCGUCGCAUUAGCUUGUUGGCGGGGUAACGGCCCACCAAGGCGACGAUGCGUAGGGGUUCUGAGAGGAAGGUCCCCCACACUGGUACUGAGACACGGACCAGACUCCUACGGGAGGCAGCAGUGAGGAAUAUUGGUCAAUGGCCGCAGGGCUGAACCAGCCAAGUCGCGUGAGGGAUGACGGUCCUAUGGAUUGUAAACCUCUUUUGUCAGGGAGCAAAGGGCGCCACGUGUGGCGUUUUGCGAGUACCUGAAGAAAAAGCAUCGGCUAACUCCGUGCCAGCAGCCGCGGUAAUACGGAGGAUGCGAGCGUUAUCCGGAUUUAUUGGGUUUAAAGGGUGCGCAGGCGGAAUGUCAAGUCAGCGGUAAAAUUUCGGGGCUCAACCCCGUCGUGCCGUUGAAACUGGCGUUCUUGAGUGAGCGAGAAGUAUGCGGAAUGCGUGGUGUAGCGGUGAAAUGCAUAGAUAUCACGCAGAACUCCGAUUGCGAAGGCAGCAUACCGGCGCUCAACUGACGCUCAUGCACGAAAGCG
rnacentral:rRNA from 1 species